rnacentral:tRNA from 1 species
GACCUGUUAGCUCAGUCGACAGAGCGUGGUGCUAAUAACGCUAAGGUCGUGAGUUCGAUCCUCACACAGGCCA